UGAUGAUGGUGUACCAGUUCACCAAUCAAAAAUUAAUUGAAUAAAUCAUUCACACUUGGCACCAUUUUACCUGAAGGAAUAUACAGUCACAUUUAUAGCCAUGGAUUCAGAAAACAUAAUAACUCUUCAUCUUACACCUGUCAAUCAUACUACUAUGAGCAAUAUGUCAAUUGCCGGGCUUCAGGCUAACACCAAUGUCUCACAGACUUUAAUCCCCAAAACGACAAUAACAACAACAACGACGAGUCACAAAGAAUUGAUCACAAAUCUUGAUCUAAUUUGGAUUAUACCAGUCUUAAUCCUAAUUGUGAUCAUUCUGUUUGGAUUAGCUUUACUUCUAUUCUAUUGCAUUCGAACAACAGAAUUGUUGCUGCUAAGUUCGUGCAAACACUGCCAUUGCUGUUGUACUGGGCGGCCUUGCCGUAAUAAAUGUACCAAGACCACUUAUAAGCUACGAGAUGAAAGACGGAAGUUAACAGAGCAUGACUCCAACAUAAUCUAUAUGAAAGAUGCAAACCAAUGCAGAGAGUCAAACUCGUGGUACUGGUCGAGCAACUUCAGGAUAUAAGCAAGACCUGCAAAUACACAACACAGAAGAACAAUAAUACCAUAAAAACAAUAAUCCAGAAACUGAUAAUUCCAUUAUUAUACCCUGUAUCAUAGAUAAUUAAUAAAUAUGUUAACUACACAAUGAA